AUACUUCAAGAUUAAUAAAUCUCCUUAAUAUCUUCAAUAUUAAACUCUCAAUAAGCUAUUAAAGUA
rnacentral:tRNA from 1 species